rnacentral:rRNA from 1 species
CACAAGCAGUGGAGUAUGUGGUUUAAUUCGACGCAACGCGAAGAACCUUACCAAGUCUUGACAUCCUGCGACGGACAUAGAAAUAUGUCUUUCCUUCGGGACGCAGAGACAGGUGGUGCAUGGUUGUCGUCAGCUCGUGUCGUGAGAUGUUGGGUUAAGUCCCGCAACGAGCGCAACCCUUAUUGCCAGUUACUACGUUAAGAGGACUCUGGCGAGACUGCCGUUGACAAAACGGAGGAA